rnacentral:rRNA from 1 species
AUGAGUUCCUGUAGCGCGCAAUGGAAAAUCAUAGAGGCACUGCAGGCUACUGUAGCUCCCCUAGCGUACCUUCGGCACGGUAGACGAGCCGGUUCCCUGUCUCACCCCCCUCCUCUCCCCUCAACCAAGGACGAAGGAGAUCCAGUCCUCUCCCCGCGCGGCAACCCUUCCUCCCACCCACCGCCGACCUCGCCGUGCUCCUCACCCAACGCCCACCUCGUCCCUCCCUCCCCUAACCAUCUCUCCCUACCCUCCGCCUCGAUCCCCCAGAUCCAAUCGACACAACCCAGCCGCCCCCGCACCCAGUACUGUCCACCAUGGCCGCCUCCUCCUCGCUCCGGAUCCCCGCACCAACCCACCACCCCGCCGUGGGGGUGCGUCCGCGGCGGCUGCCCUUCCACGCCGUCUCCGUCCGCCCCCGCCGCUCCGCAUUACAUGACGAGCCCGGAGCUGGACGACGGCGCGGUCGAGAAGGAGCCGGCGGCAGCAUCGCGCGAUGGCGCGAUGACGAGUCCUCUUUUCCUUGGUGCGUCGAGCGGGAUCGGCGCGGAGAUGGCGCGCGGCGCCCACGUCGUCAUGGCCGUCCGCAACCUCGCCGCCGCAGAGGCCGUUCGCCAGGCCGUCCUCGCCGAGACCCCCGGCGCGAGCGUGGAGGUGAUGGAGCUGGACCUCUCCUCGUUGGCAUCUGUCCGCAAGUUCGCCGCCGACUUUGCCGCCAGUGGCCUCCCGCUCAACAUCCUCAUGUAA